rnacentral:misc_RNA from 1 species
AAUAAAAUUAAAGUUUAGUGACUUGAUUGUAAUAAAAUGUUAUUUUUUAACCACAAUAGAAAUUAGUGAUUAGUUUAGUGGUGACCAUUGGUGCCAUUUACCUCUAAAGUUCAGUCCUAGUCCAUAGUAUUUUGGAUGAAGGUUUGAUUUUGUUUGACAUUAUUAGAACUGCUGUUGAGAAAAACACCAUGUUAAACAUGCUGAUUAGAGGCCAUUAAAAAUUGUCCUUAGAAGAGAAUUGACACUCGAAAAUGUGUAAAUAGCAGUUUCAAACUGUUUUUACAUCUUCCAAAAGGGUGCUUUUUGAAAAAGUAGGUUUCAACCCCAAUGCCAAAUAGAAGUCCUUAGAAUGCUUCAUUUUGAAUCUUAUCAGACUUCCAAAUUAUCAUAUUGAAGGUCAUAUAGGUUGCAAUAUCUGUUUAGUAAUUGAUUGAUGGAUGUUGCAAUAUCUGUUUAGUAAAUUUAUUGAUGGGCAGUUUCGUGUAUUAGCUGGGGGUUUGGAUUGGAAAUUGCAAACAUUCAAAUUGUUUAGAUCAUUUGGAUGCUUUGCAUGUUAACCAUUUAGUCAGUCUUGUUUUCCUUUAUUUCUUUGUUCA